rnacentral:pre_miRNA from 1 species
UGUUUAACCUUUUGCCUGUUGGUUGAAGAUGCCUUUCAACAGGUGACUGGUUAGACAAA